UAUCUCUGUAGAGUCUGCAUAUCAAUAAGCGGAGGAAAAGAAACUAACAAGGAUUCCCUUAGUAACGGCGAGCGAAGCGGGAAGAGCUCAAAUUUGGAAUCUUCAAGGUUCUACCUUGACGAAUUGUAGUUUAAAGAAGUGUUUUCUGUUAGAUGAGUAGCAAAAGUUCCUUGGAAUGGGACAUCAUAGAGGGUGAGAAUCCCGUAUUUGGUUAUUCAUUCUAGCUUUGUGAUACACUUUCAAAGAGUCAGGAUUGUUUGGGAAUGCAGUCCAAAAUGGGUGGUAAAUUUCAUCUAAAGCUAAAUAUUGGCGAGAGACCGAUAGCGAACAAGUACCGUGAGGGAAAGAUGAAAAGAACUUUGAAAAGAGAGUUAAACAGUACGUGAAAUUGUCAAAAGGGAAGCGUUUGACACCAGUGUUGUUUUUCCGAAAAUCAAUUACGAAUGGCUUGAUUUUGUGUUGUAUUGACCUUAUCAGCUUUCUUCACUUUUUUCGAGUCUUUCUUAAUGCACUUUUCGGUCAACAAGUCAACAUCAAUUUCUUUUGUUGUAAAAGAGUAUUCGGAAGGUGGCUUUCUUUUCGGAGAAAGUGUUUAUAGCCCUAUACUUCUACAAUCGGAGAGAUUGAGGUCUGCAGCGUAGAUCCUUCGGGGUUAGAUACACUUGUGCUAAGUUAUAGCUUUUCAUAGACAACUUGUUGACUAUGUUUAGUCAUGCGGCUUACUCGCUUGUGCUAUUUUACCUACGCUUAGGAUGUUGACUGAUAUGUAGUCGUA
rnacentral:rRNA from 1 species